GAGUGCGUAAUAGCUCACUAGUCGAGUGACUCUGCGCCGAAAAAUGUACCGGGGCUAAAUACACCACCGAAGCUGCGGAUUGAUACCAAUGGUAUCAGUGGUAGGGGAGCGUUCUAAGGACAGUGAAGUCAGACCGGAAGGACUGGUGGAGUGCUUAGAAGUGAGAAUGCCGGUAUGAGUAGCGAAAGACGGGUGAGAAUCCCGUCACCGAAUGCCUAAGGUUUCCUGAGGAAGGCUCGUCCGCUCAGGGUUAGUCAGGACCUAAGCCGAGGCCGACAGGCGUAGGCGAUGGACAACAGGUUGAUAUUCCUGUACCACCUCUUUAUCGUUUGAGCAAUGGAGGGACGCAGAAGGAUAGAAGAAGCGUGCGAUUGGUUGUGCACGUCCAAGCAGUUAGGCUGAUAAGUAGGCAAAUCCGCUUAUCGUGAAGGCUGAGCUGUGAUGGGGAAGCUCCUUAUGGAGCGAAGUCUUUGAUUCCCCGCUGCCAAGAAAGCUUCUAGCGAGAUAAAAGGUGCCUGUACCGCAAACCGACACAGGUAGGCGAGGAGAGAAUCCUAAGGUGUGCGAGAGAACUCUGGUUAAGGAACUCGGCAAAAUGACCCCGUAACUUCGGGAGAAGGGGUGCUUUCUUAACGGAAGCCGCAGUGAAUAGGCCCAAGCGACUGUUUAGCAAAAACACAGCGUCUCUGGGAAGCCGUAAGGCGAAGUAUAGGGGGGUGACACCUGCCCGGUGCUGGAAGGUUAAGGAGAGGGGUUAGCGUAAGCGAAGCUCUGAACUGAAGCCCCAGUAAACGGCGGCCGUAACUAUAACGGUCCUAAGGUAGCGAAAUUCCUUGUCGGGUAAGUUCCGACCCGCACGAAAGGUGUAACGAUUUUGGGCACUGUCUCAACCAGAGACUCGGUGAAAUUAUAGUACCUGUGAAGAUGCAGGUUACCCGCGACAGGCCGGAAAGACCCCGUGGAGCUUUUACUGUAGCCUGAUAUUGAAUUUUGGUACAGUUUGUACAGGAUAGGCGGGAGCCUUUGAAACCGGAGCGCUAGCUUCGGUGGAGGCGCUGGUGGGAUACCGCCCUGACUGUAUUGAAAUUCUAACCUACGGGUCUUAUCGACCCGGGAGACAGUGUCAGGUGGGCAGUUUGACUGGGGCGGUCGCCUCCUAAAGUGUAACGGAGGCGCCCAAAGGUUCCCUCAGAAUGGUUGGAAAUUAUUCGUAGAGUGCAAAGGCAUAAGGGAGCUUGACUGCGAGACCUACAAGUCGAGCAGGGACGAAAGUCGGGCUUAGUGAUCCGGUGGUUCCGCAUGGAAGGGCCAUCGCUCAACGGAUAAAAGCUACCCCGGGGAUAACAGGCUUAUCUCCCCCAAGAGUCCACAUCGACGGGGAGGUUUGGCACCUCGAUGUCGGCUCAUCGCAUCCUGGGGCUGUAGUCGGUCCCAAGGGUUGGGCUGUUCGCCCAUUAAAGCGGUACGCGAGCUGGGUUCAGAACGUCGUGAGACAGUUCGGUCCCUAUCCGUCGUGGGCGUAGGAAAUUUGAGAGGAGCUGUCCUUAGUACGAGAGGACCGGGAUGGACGCACCGCUGGUGUACCAGUUGUUCUGCCAAGGGCAUAGCUGGGUAGCUAUGUGCGGAAGGGAUAAGUGCUGAAAGCAUCUAAGCAUGAAGCCCCCUCAAGAUGAGAUUUCCCAUAGCGUAAGCUAGUAAGAUCCCUGAAAGAUGAUCAGGUUGAUAGGUUCGAGGUGGAAGCAUGGUGACAUGUGGAGCUGACGAAUACUAAUAGAUCGAGGACUUAACCA
rnacentral:rRNA from 1 species